rnacentral:rRNA from 1 species
CGUGCCUAAUACAUGCAAGUUGAACGCAACAAAGACACCAGAGCCUGCUCUACCGUCUUUGUUGAGUAGCGAACGGGUGAGUAACGCGUGGGUAACCUGCCUUAUAGCGGGGGAUAACUAUUGGAAACGAUAGCUAAUACCGCAUAACAAUAGAGAUUGCAUAAUCUUUAUUUGAAAGUGCCAACUGGUACACUAUGAGAUGGACCCGCGUUGUAUUAGCUAGUUGGUAGUGUAAUGGACUACCAAGGCGAUGAUACAUAGCCGACCUGAGAGGGUGAUCGGCCACAUUGGGACUGAGACACGACCCAAACUCCUACGGGAGGCAGCAGUAGGGAAUCUUCGGCAAUGGACGAAAGUCUGACCGAGCAACGCCGCGUGAGUGAAGAAGGUUUUCGGAUCGUAAAACUCUGUUGUUAGAGAAGAAUGUUGAUUAGAGUGGAAAAUUAAUCAAGUGACGGUAUCUAACCAGAAAGGGACGGCUAACUACGUG